rnacentral:lncRNA from 1 species
GUCAGAGUUGUGGGCGGGGCCCUGGCGGCGGGCGGGGUUCCCCUCCUCCUUCCCCUCUCCUCCGAGCCCAGCACACUUUGGUGCUCUCCUCCGAGCCCAGCACACUUUUGGCUGCAGCUUUGGUGCUUGGAGCCGAGUGAGGUCAGUCCUGGAACCUGCGUUGUGGGAAUCCCGCUUGGGAGGAAACAUUCCAUUUGGGGGGUAUGGGGGACACACACCUGUAAUCCCAGCACCCGAGAGACAGAAAAACUUGGAGUUCAAGGCCAGCCUGGGCUGCACAGUGAGACUCUGUCUCAGAAAGCCAAACGUCAAGGUGAGUAAGUUCACGUAUCGUGACAGCUGUAGGGUGAAGUGUCAUAGUGACACCCCUUGCUUUUGUAGGCUUACUUUUCAGUUUUUAAUUUUUUUAGAAAGCCCAAACACAGGAAGUCCAACAAGGAAGCAAAAUCACACAUAGUGGAAACUGCCCAAGAGAAAGGUGACGUGUAGCAAGAAAAAAACCUGUGUGUGAUGGUUUCUAUUCAUUUGGAAAGCUAGCGCUGUGCCUUCCGAUUCAUUUUUAUUUAAAUGCUACCAUGGCUGGGCC